GAUGAACGCUAGCGGCAGGCUUAACACAUGCAAGUCGAGGGGUAUUUAUCUUCGGAUAGAGAGACCGGCGCACGGGUGCGUAACGCGUAUGCAAUCUACCUUUUACAGAGGGAUAGCCCAGAGAAAUUUGGAUUAAUACCUCAUAGUAUAUAGACUCGGCAUCGAGAUUAUAUUAAAGUCACAACGGUAAAAGAUGGGCAUGCGUCCCAUUAGCUAGUUGGUAAGGUAACGGCUUACCAAGGCUACGAUGGGUAGGGGUCCUGAGAGGGAGAUCCCCCACACUGGUACUGAGACACGGACCAGACUCCUACGGGAGGCAGCAGUGAGGAAUAUUGGACAAUGGGCGCAAGCCUGAUCCAGCCAUGCCGCGUGCAGGAUGACGGUCCUAUGGAUUGUAAACUGCUUUUAUACGAGAAGAAACACUGCUACGUGUAGCAGCUUGACGGUAUCGUAAGAAUAAGGAUCGGCUAACUCCGUG
rnacentral:rRNA from 1 species